rnacentral:rRNA from 1 species
GACGAACGCUGGCGGCGUGCCUAAUACAUGCAAGUAGAACGCACAGUUUAUACCGUAGCUUGCUACACCAUAGACUGUGAGUUGCGAACGGGUGAGUAACGCGUAGGUAACCUGCCUGGCAGCGGGGGAUAACUAUUGGAAACGAUAGCUAAUACCGCAUAAUAUUAAUUAUUGCAUGCUAAUUAAUUGAAAGGUGCAAUUGCACCACUACCAGAUGGACCUGCGUUGUAUUAGCUAGUAGGUGAGGUAACGGCGCACCUAGGCGACGAUACAUAGCCGACCUGAGAGGGUGAUCAGCCACACUGAGACUAGGACACGGCCCAGACUCCUACGGGAGGCAGCAGUAGGGAAUCUUCGGCAAUGGACGAAAGUCUGAGCGAGCAACGCCGCGUGAGUGAAGAAGGUUGUCGGAUCGUAAAGCUCUGUUGUAAGAGAAGAACGGGGGUGAGAGUGGAAAGUUCACACUGUGACGGUAUCUUACCAGAAAGGGACGGCUAACUACGUG